rnacentral:misc_RNA from 1 species
UGUGUAGGAAGUGGUUCUCCCUG